AAAAUUAAUUUCCGAUUAUUUUUGAAACUAAGUUUUUAGUACCCGAUCACGUAAACAUGAGUGAACUUAUUAAGAUUAUCAGGAGACGCCUCCAGCUCAACUCCAAUCAGGCUUUCUUCCUACUUGUCAAUGGUCACAGCAUGGUAUCUGUGUCCACCGCCAUUUCUGAGGUCUACGAACGCGAGAGAGACGAGGACGGCUUCCUGUACAUGGUCUACGCCUCCCAGGAGACAUUUGGAACUGUGUGUACUCAGUAAAAAUGGCAAAACGAUUGGCUUUCACUCUAGGACAAUGAUACAACCUAUCCUGAACUCUUGCGACCUCUCCCUUGCAAAUAUCCCUAUCCCAUUUCCCAUCCCCAUCCAAAAAAGAACCAAGUGAACUUUUAGUCAUUUGGCUCACCAAUCCCAGCCAUUAUCUAAUGCUAAAUCCUAACUUCCCAUAUCUCAGCCCUUUAACCUCGGCUCCCUCUAAAUCAUAUGAGUUUUAAUAAUGGAACAGGAGUCAGCUGUGUUUAGGUUGUAGGACAGGUUAUGGUUAGUUGGACUAAUGAUCCGGAUUUACUCAACAUAAAGCUUGAAUGAAAGACUUUUGGGUGUAGAGAUGGAAUCAUCUCAAUUUCUUAGCAGUUGAAUUUCCGAAAUGGCAUUUAGUGUAACGUUAGGCGGCCAAAUUGAGUUUAUCUGUCAGGUUCAUUCUGGUGACCCAUUAAGCCCUCUCACUGUUCGUCGAAUCUCUGUAUUUUUUGAGUUUGACCGCCUUUCCUUACAUGUAGGUGUCAAACUGUGUCUUCCGCUGUUCCAUUUUCCUGUUAGAAGCAAUUCAGUCUUUUCACCUCCCCCUCGAGCUUUUUGCUAACUGGGUCAUGAGCGUUGAGGUUCUUGGAUUUCACAACUCGGUGAGUAAGUCAAGGUUCGAAAUGACGUCCUACUUGCCUUGUUAACAUUUGAAGUAUGAUCCAAUAGGACAUACCUGAGGAAAUAAAUAGUAAGCAAUUUAUAAUACAAGAAAUUCUACUUUGAUUGUAGUGUGACACUUUAAAAGGAAGGAAAAUGUAAUUAUAUUCAGUGGUACAUUGAGCGAAUGAAUGUGGCUUUAGCGAUUGUGGCCCAAGGUAGACAGGGCAGCUCAAUCACAGACAUGAUCCUUGCUCUUUUAGGUGCACGCUUUUAGACUUUUUUCAAUUUAAUUAGAGGAUUAUUUACGCCUUUAUAAAUACAUAACCCUGAGCUGUUGUACUCUUUCCAUCUGUGUGUCUUAUAGUAAACUGUACAGGUAAGCUUAGAUGCCUUUUCUCCUGAGCAUUUAAUUGCUGUUUGUCUUGCUCUUAUUUAAAGAGAUGUUAUUUUUUCGUUGUUUUGUUCUUGUAAAAAACAAUUCAUAUGUGCUACUAUUGUGCAAUUUACAAAAGUGUAGGAAUGAGAGUUUAACUUUAAAGGAUUAUCAACCCACCAUCGAACUAAGCUCAUUUAUGUAUUCCUCCUGCUCAGAUUCACAGCAAUAUCACACUUCUAUUUCUGUUGAUAUUUUAAAAAUAAAAGAGAAAUAUGCAUCCUG